UACGUAGGGGGCAAGCGUUGUCCGGAUUUAUUGGGCGUAAAGAGCGUGUAGGCGGCCUGACAGGUCUGCUGUGAAAACUCGAGGCUCAACCUCGAGAUGUCGGCGGAAACCGUCUGGCUAGAGUCCGGAAGAGGAGAGUGGAAUUCCUGGUGUAGCGGUGAAAUGCGCAGAUAUCUGGAGGAACACCGGUGGCGAAGGCGGCAUCCUGGACCGGUAUUGACGCUGAGGCGCGAAAGCCAGGGGAGCAAACGGG
rnacentral:rRNA from 1 species